rnacentral:rRNA from 1 species
AGCGUCUCUAGCUAUGUUGAGACGCGGCAGACGGCUCAGUAACCGGUGAGCUACCUACCCUCAGGACAAGUACAACCCGGGAAACUGGGGCUAAUACUCGAUAGGCGAAGGCGCCUGGAAUGGUUCUUCACCCAAAGGGCUUUAGAAACAUGCUUCUAGAGUCGCCUGGGGAUGGGGCCGCGUCCGAUCAGGUUGUUGGUGAGGUAACGGCUCACCAAGCCUAUACCCGGUACGGGCCGUGAGAGCGGUAGCUCGGAGAUGGGUACUGAGACAACGACCCAGGGCCUACGGGGCGCAGCAGUCGCGAAAACUCCGCCAAUGCACGAAAGUGUGACCGGGCCUACCCGGAGUCGCGUCCCGCUGAGGAUGGCUUUUUCCUUGGGUGUAACCUAGCCGGGGGGAAUAAAGGAGAGGGGCAAGACUGGUGUUACCCCGCCGCGGUAA